rnacentral:rRNA from 1 species
AUGGAGAAGUCGCAGAUGGCGCCGCCGUCGCUCCCGCGCAGCGUUGAGGUCAGUGCAUGGUCGGGGCCAGUGAAUACCGAGAUGGCGUCGUUCGUCGACGCGAAGAGCUGGCCGGCGUGCGUGGCGAGCUUGGGAUAG